ACUCAGGUGGCUCAAUGGACAGAGCGAUGCCCUCCGAAGGCAUAGACUGUGGGUUCGAUUCCCACCCUGAGUACCU
rnacentral:tRNA from 1 species